UUCAGAAUUGCUAUAAUUUUGCAAAUUUUUUAGUUACGGAGGUAAAUUUGAGGGAACAUCAGAGAGAAAAUAUUAUUCUCUUCUCGUUAUUUCUAUAAGAGAGUCUGUAUAAAAUUUCUUUUUAUUUUACAGAAGAAAGUAUGCAUCAAGGCCAAGAAGGAGCAGAAUACACGUGUUUCAAAGGACAGGGAGGGAUGCGCCUAGAUACCUGGGUUGAUAUUUAAUAAAACCAAAGCGGUGGCCAAGACAAAGGGAUACUUGCUCUGAAAAUACGAGGAGCCAACGCAGGCAAUAAGCGGGAAAUUUUAAACGAAAGAUCGGCGAAUGAUUCAUCGAUGGAAAAGAAGGAGCGUUGAAUUGUCGUGGACGCGCCACCCUCUGGGUAGCCCAGUAUCGUGACCCAGUCUGGGUUAAAAGUGUUACAGAAUGGCCACUUCCGCAUAGCAGUAAUUUUCGAAAUCCAUCACUGUCUCCCUUCUUUCACGUUGAGGAUUCUCGAAGGAGGAACGUAUCUACGAAAAAGGUACGUAUCUCUCUCUCUCUUCCUCUCUCUCUCUCUCUCUUCCUAGCACUAAAAGCACCGUAAUUACAGAAGCGGUUGAUCGCAUAAAGCUCAUCCGCGGAACAAAUUACAUCAGCGGCCGAUUAUAUAAUUCGAGGCCCGAUGUAUUGAUCUAGCCGUCGAUCCCUAUCGAACGAUCUACCCUCCCUAGCUUGCCGUUCCACUGUUUAUCUUCUUAAAGGGGUUUAAACGGGUGCCGCGCAUUCAGCGAAAGAUCUCCUCUGGUCGGUUCAUCUUGAUCGUCGAUCCGCUCGAGGCCUUGGCAAUCGAACGACGAGAGAGAGAGGAACGAGACGAAAUAAUAGGGAACGAGGUGAGAUAGGAGAGAGAGAGAGGGGAGAGAGGUUAUACAACGGUGCUUAUAGCGAUUAAGCAGCGUCAGCAUCAGCAACUGCAGCAGCGAGCCGACCAGCGAGCCGGCAGCAAUAGGCACACCGGAAAGCAGCGGGAACAACAACAGCGGCAACCAGGUUGCGGCUGUAACGUGGCUCUCGCAUUGGCAGCGAUAUCGAUCGAACCUUCGCCUUUCACCGGCCAUUGUCCAGAACGGUGCCAGCGCUGGAAAUCUAACUGCCGAUAAUUGCCUUCGAACCCGUCAAGUCAUACGCUGUAAUAGCAUAAUAACCGGGGCUAAGCGAUCAGAUUAAGGGAAUGACCGCCCUCCCAUGCCUGCGGCAAGGGUAAACCCUUCCAGAUUUGCGUUAUCCGUCGAGCCUCGCUAUCGUUACGAUGCAGUGAGGUACUUUCACUGUUUCUCGUUUCUUUUUCUUCUUCUUCUUUUCUCUGGUAUAUGGAGGAAUUUGUAUAUGGAUGUUUCAUGAUUUGUGUAGAUGUGAUGUAUUUAGAGUGGGUA